UGAGUAACGCGUAUCCAACCUACCCAUUACUAGGAAUAACCAGCGAAAGUUGGCCUAAUGCCCUAUGUAGUCGUUUGAUCGCCUGAGAUUUCGACGAAAGAUUUAUCGGUAUUGGAUGGGGAUGCGUCUGAUUAGCUUGUUGGCGGGGUAAAGGCCCACCAAGGCAACGAUCAGUAGGGGUUCUGAGAGGAAGGUCCCCCCACAUUUUGGAACUGAGACACGGUCCAAACUCCUACGGGAGGCAGCAGCC
rnacentral:rRNA from 1 species